GCCUUCUUGGCUCAGUUGGCUAGAGCGCAGGUCUCAUACGUUCGUAUGAGUGGUCUAUUGACUACGAAAUCCUGAGGUCGCAAGUUCGAGCCUUGCAGGGGGCA
rnacentral:tRNA from 1 species